AAGACUAUAGACCUGCGGAGUACCUGCGGAGGGAUCAUUACAUGGCGGAGAAGGUGGGCAACCUGGCCAACAUCCAGGUUGUGAUGCCUUCACGCUCUUCCACCCUUGUCUAUUUGCACCUUCUGUCGUUCCCUCGGCGGGUUUCGACCCGCCGGCGGCAACAUUGAAAAACCCUUUUUGCAGUUAGCAUUCAAUUCUUCUGAUCAAAUAUUAAAUCAUUACAACUUUUAACAACGGAUC
rnacentral:misc_RNA from 1 species